GCCCGGGCCGCGCCGCCUCGGGAGGGCACGGCAGGGCUCCCGCCCGAACACCGCGCAGUUAUCCAUUUACAGGGAGAUUUACGGAUUAACCCGUAUCUGCCGCGCCGCAGGGUGAGCGUGAGCUGAGACGGUGGAAGCCAUCCUUUCAGGGCAUGUAAAAUCAGCGAAAACAGCGUGGGAAUGGAUGCUGAGGACAAGGGAAAACUCCCACUGAUUUCAGUUGGUCCAGGAUCAAAGCUUAUGCAUCACUCCCUGCUGCAAACAGAAGAAGUGCAAUGGACUUGACAGAUGGAAAGAUUUACACAGUAUCUAUUCACAGUAACUUGGAACUUGGAACAAUUGAGUAACUUCCUCCAUGCCUCCCAAAAUGUCCCAUUUAAUUCUGAUCAUUUGCGGUUCUUAUAGCCUUGAGGAUCCCAAAGGACUUUCCAGCAUGACUCAGCUAAAGCUUACAAGAGGAAUUAUAUAUCUUCAAGGCUCUCUGUCAAAGUUGACUGAGAUUUAUGAACAAAUCCCAGAGUUAUUCGGAGCAGAUUGGUGUGGACAAACAUGAACAUGAGUCUCAUUUCCUUAGAAAAGCGAAAGGUAAGAUCACAAUUAACAUUUUAUAUGAAGCAAAGUGAUGAAGAGGAGAGUUCACUGACUUUUCAUCCCUGGAAUCACCCAAAUACUGGUUUACGUUCCAAGUAAGAUUAUAUAUGGUGGGUUUCACACCAGUGUUUACUGGUCAUAUCACAGUGCUGCUGUUGGGAAAAACUGAAUUUAUUAAGGCAGUAUAUUUUAAAAAUUGGCUUCAGCACCACACAGCUGGCAAGAAGGAAAAAAUAAUCUAAGGCAGCAUGUAAAAAACUUGUUCUCUAGUUAGACUGUGAUUUUUUUCAAUAACUGCCUCCAACUGCCUAUGACUCUGAUUGCAAUCAUAUACAGUCUGAUUGUUUCAAAAGUCUUAAAAAUAAAAUGUAGAUUUUGAAAUGCCAGCCUCCCACUAUUCUCCUCCAACCUUUUUCGUUUCAUGUCUUAUUGCUUACUUUGCGUUUUUCUUUCAUGGGAUCCUUCCUCUCACUGAUUUUUUCUUUCAGUAUCCCUUUCCUUUUAUCUCAUAACUGAGUGGAGCUUUAACAGCAGAAUAUGAGCCAGCAGACAAUGAAAAGAAGCUGAGGCAGCAAAUUCUGAAAGCACACCAAGCACAAAAGAAAAGAACAGUGCAGGUUAUUGGUACCAAAUUUGUGUGCCACAGGCUUGCUACCAACCAGAGCAAACCAGCAUAUCACUAGAAUCAUAAUUCUCCAAAGUAGAAGCUGGUUGGUACAGCAUGUUUGGAAGUGUUAUUUGUAGCUACUGCUAUUACAAUGAAGAACUGUUUAAAAGACCUUUUUUAAUCUUUUGCCUCGCAUGCUUGGGUUUUAAGUAAAAAGGGUUUAAUAAUCAAAAAGAAAAAUACCUGGGGAGGUACAAAAUACAACUGAGACAAAGACAUUAGAUGUUAGACAGGCUACAUAUUAGUUGGUCUGGAGCAUGAUGAUGUAGAAGGUCUUCAUGUAACAUAUGAAAAGAAAACAACUUUGAAAAAUCAUCUCCUUCCUGAAAGCAAAAAAUACAAAUAGCUUAUUUGGGGCUGCUAUACACAAUCAAUCGUUAUUAGGCCAUUACAAUGAAUCCUAUUGACGGGGACUGAAUUCACAAAAGAAAGGGAAUGCCAAUUUUUGCCCCGAGAUAGACCUGUGGGCAAUUUUGAGGAGGCCAGGGCAAGACUUGAGCUACUGUUAACAUCAGUUUGUGACAGAGCAUCAAACCCUGCUUGAUUUUUACUCUCACUGAAGUUUCCUGGAUAACGCCCUGAUUGCUCUGUAAUGCACCUCAACUUUAUGGGAAGGCCAUGAGAAAGCUCUGUAAACAAUGGAAUAAAUUUUUGAAGAUCCUUUUCUUGCCAUUUUGGGAAACUGAUAACAUUUGUACAAGAGCAAGCUAGUCAUUACUCAAAUCAGAAAUGAAAGAACUAUGACAAUGGGAAAAACAGCAGACUGAUUUUAAACUAGAUCCAUGAAAAACCCAAGGAACUCUCUUCUCUUCUGCAGUCUUGAACUAAAAUACACCAAGUAUUUCCUGUUUUUUAACAUGCUUUCUGUAAGGGAUGUUAACUGAAAGACAAAGGUGAUGAGAGGACAAGGCUCUUUUUAACAAAUAUGCUUGUAAAACAGCUACAGCUCAAAUACAGCUGGGUGGCACAGAAGAUAUAAUGAAAUAAAAUCUCUUGUAAAAUUUAGUGCUACAUGUCAGACAAGCUGUUGAUGUAAGAAUGCACAAAUUGAGCGGCAGUACAAGGUGGAAUGGGAUGCUUCUCAAGGAUUUCUCCAGUUCCUGCUCCCAACCUCUCUCUCCUUAAAAUUCUCCUCUAAUAAAUGAGUGUCAGUAUGGAUACGUGCUUCUGUCUUUCAUUCAUCAUUUCUUUGGCUAUUUGGGUCUGUGACAAACCUUUGCAAACUUUUCUUGUUUGCUAAUUAGUGUGAAGCGUACUGCAAACUUAUCACUACUUUUUUCACUACAAAAUCAAGCAAGUCACAGUUCCACAAAACGUUAAUUAACUUUCCAUUUGAGAACAAAAAGGAUACACUUUAAAUGUGUUUUUAUUGCCUUAGUAUUAAAUGUUACAGAAAAAUGUCUUCUGCAGCAAAACACACAGAAGAGCAGGGAUGAGCACAAAGCAAACGAAUAAGAAAGUAAAUUAUCUAUGAAAUCAGUUGUUUCAAUGCUACAGGGAACAAUAAUACAAAUUUGGAAACAGCUUUUCCUCCUUCGGAGAAUGCAGCACUUUUUUUUCUUUAUUGGAGCUCCUAGCAUAGGUCAAAGUGGCUGCAUUAUACUGAGAUUUAGAUUCUUUUCCACCUAGAGAGAGCUAAACAUGGUCACCAAAAAGUUUAUUUUGUUGGAAUGGAAGAAAAGCCUAGUCCUGAGGAAGACCGCAAUUUUUUACUCUGUCUUGUCAAGAUAAUAGCUAUGAAAUGUAUUCUUUUCAGAUGCUGAACAGAAAGAUAAGGGGAAUUUGGAGCAUUAAAACGUGGAUUCCACAUUGCAACUACUUUGCAGAUCCCUAUUCCAAUCAGUUUCUACCGACUUCCAAAAGCAUAACUUCUCCAGGAACGCAGCUAACACGAACACUUUACUGAGGUGCUUCAACAGAACUCCAUAAAUCUUAGGUUCUGUCAUGCUUUCUUCUCUUAGCACUUCUAGAAAACGGGAUUCUGAAGUGAAGAAAUGACUGAUAUCCUUAUCUUUUGGUCCACACUAACAUAUUAAACAAUACCUUCCUAUGCCUCAGAUGCCAAAUGAAACCACAGUGCAACUAAAGUUACCUAAAUUCCUGGAGGUGCAGCCAAGUCUUUGGCACCACAGUUCAUUUGAUGUCAGCACUUGGUUCUUCUGGUUAAGUCACAAGUUGUGUGUUAUUUUCUUUGAAGUGUUUAUAGACUGGCAAAUUCUUCUGAAGAUCUGUUCACAGGCUA